rnacentral:rRNA from 1 species
CCGUAGGCGGCUCUCUUUCUCCUUCUUCCCUGGUCUUCCCUCUCGUUCCUUCUUUUCUUUCCUUUUUUCUUUCCCUCUCCCUUCUCCCCUUUUCUCUUUCUUUCCAUCCUAUCGGACUUGAGAGCGAUAGAGGAAAAUUGAAGUCCCGGUGGAGGGGUGAAAUGCGGAGAUAUCGGGAGGAAAACCAGUGGCGAAAGCGAUUUUCUGGAGCGUUUCUGACGAGAAGACGCGAAAGAGAGGGUAGCAAAAGG